GAACAUAGAAGAUCUAACUUAGAUAAUUUUGUAGAAUUAUAUAAUAAUGUCACAAUUAUUAUUAAAUUAAUAUUAAGUUAGGGGUGAAAUGCUUUCAAUUCUAUCAUAUCUGGAUUUAUAUUAAAUAUAUGUAGUAUAGGAUUAAAUUCUCAGACUUAAAAUGUUAAGAUUUUAAGAAUUUAAUUAAAUUUCCACUUUGUUUUAGUAUUAUAAGUGUUAAUCCUCUUAUAGUUAAUUAACUUAUAAUUUUUUUAGGUCUUGUUAAUAAUUAUAAUAUAAUAAUUAAUAGAAUCAAUUAAUAAUUAAAUAAUGUUUAGAUUAGUAAAAAAUUCAUUAAUUUUUAUUAAGGAACUCGGCAAAUAUAUUCUUCGUCUGUUUAACAAAAACAUAGCUUAGUGCAACUAAAUUAAUGCUAAGUAAUUUCUGCCCAGUGAAUAUUUUAACGGCCGCAGUACCUUGACUGUGCUAAGGUAGCAUAAUAAAUUGGCUUUUAAUUGGAGUCUCGUAUCAACGAAAUGUGGGAGAAUGACUGUCUCAUGAGAAUUAAUUUAAAUUUAUUUUUUAGGUGAAAAUACCUUAAAUUUUAUAUAUAGACAAGAAGACCCUUAGAAUUUUUAUUAAAUUAAUUCUUAUAAUUAAUUAAUUUUUGUUGGGGCGACAAGGUAACAGAGAACUUACCUAUUUUUCUUUUACUUGACCUUUUUUAAUAGAAUGAAUAAAUUACCUAAGGGAUAACAGCAUAAUAUUAGUUUGAUUGUGACCUCGAUGUUGGAUUAGGAAAAAUAAUAGCUAGUAGUUAUUAUCUUAGGUUCUGUUCGAACUGUAGCACCUACAUGAUCUGAGUUCAGACCGGUGCAAGCCAGGUCAG
rnacentral:rRNA from 1 species